GACGAACGCUGGCGGCGUGCCUAAUACAUGCAAGUCGAGCGGACUUAAAAAGCUUGCUUUUUAAGUUAGCGGCGGACGGGUGAGUAACACGUGGGCAACCUGCCUGUAAGACUGGGAUAACUUCGGGAAACCGGAGCUAAUACCGGAUAAUCCUUUUCUACUCAUGUAGAAAAGCUGAAAGACGGUUUACGCUGUCACUUACAGAUGGGCCCGCGGCGCAUUAGCUAGUUGGUGAGGUAACGGCUCACCAAGGCGACGAUGCGUAGCCGACCUGAGAGGGUGGUGGGCCCGCCUGGACCUGCGACGAGGCCCAGAUUCCUAGUGGGGGGGACAGUGGGGAAUUUUCCGCAUUGGACGAAAGUGUUACGGAGAAACGCGGCGUGAGUGCUGAUGAUUUUCGGAUCGUAAAACUCUGUUUUGAGGGAAGAACAAGUACGGGCGUAACUUUUAGUAACUUGACGGUACCUAACCAGAAGGCCACGGUUAACUACGUG
rnacentral:rRNA from 1 species